rnacentral:misc_RNA from 1 species
ACUUACAAUUGCCCAAUUGUUUGAAAUCUUGUAUGGGAAUUGAGGUCUGUUUUGUGUGAAUUCAACAAGUAUUUUCAACUAGCUAUGAUGGCAUCAUUUACUUUAUGGUGUUGGUUUGGUCUGUCGAGCAUCUUUUUUGCAACAUUCCAAGGUCUUAUGCGGUAACAAUAUGGGGUUUUACAGCCUCGGGGAGUUUGACAUUGCUUAAAGAGUGGAUAGUUGAUUCACAGUGGGCUUUUAUUGGAUUCUGCUGUAACAAAUGACUCCCUUUGCUUUGGAGUUUAUCAAAUAUUCUGGUCAUUUGAGUUGUCAUGUCAGUGUGUCAUUAUACCAUGCAUUAAUGGUCACUGAGCUCAUGUAAAAGGAGGAAAAUGAGAUCCUCGAAGGAAUUGGUUCAAUUACUGUGUAGUUGAAUUUUGGCAUGUACUCUCUGAAAGUUUUUGGCUGUUAUUGCAGUAGAUCUGAUCUUAACUUUGAAUUUGUUAAUUACAUGAUUUGGACUCAUUUCCGGUAUAUUCAAUGUUUGUUUCAAUUUUCAAAUGAGAUGGCUGGAUUUAAG